UACGUAGGUGACAAGCGUUGUCCGGAAUUAUUGGGCGUAAAGAGCUCGUAGGCGGUCUGUUGCGUCCGCUGUGAAAACUCGGGACUUAACCCCGAGCCUGCAGUGGAUACGGGCAGACUAGAGGUAGGUAGGGGAGAAUGGAAUUCCCGGUGUAGCGGUGAAAUGCGCAGAUAUCGGGAGGAACACCGGUGGCGAAGGCGGUUCUCUGGGCCUUACCUGACGCUGAGGAGCGAAAGCGUGGGGAGCGAACAGG
rnacentral:rRNA from 1 species